AGAGUUUGAUCAUGGCUCAGAACGAACGCUGGCGGCAGGCCUAACACAUGCAAGUCGAGCGCCCCGCAAGGGGAGCGGCGGACGGGUGAGUAACGCGUGGGAAUUUUCCUCAAGGUAGGGAACAACUCAGGGAAACUUGGGCUAAUACCCUAUGAUGCAGAGAUGCCAAAGAUUUAUCGCCUUGGGAUAAGCCCGCGUCAGAUUAGGUAGUUGGUGGGGUAACGGCCUACCAAGCCUGCGAUCUGUAGCUGGUCUGAGAGGACGAUCAGCCACAUUGGGACUGAGACACGGCCCAAACUCCUACGGGAGGCAGCAGUGGGGAAUCUUGCGCAAUGGGCGAAAGCCUGACGCAGCCAUGCCGCGUGAAUGAUGAAGGUCUUAGGAUUGUAAAGUUCUUUCGCCUGUGACGAUGAUGACGGUAACAGGAGAAGAAGCCCCGGCUAACUUCGUGCCAGCAGCCGCGGUAAUACGAAGGGGGCUAGCGUUGUUCGGAAUUACUGGGCGUAAAGCGCGCGUAGGCGGUUUUGCAAGCCAGAGGUGAAAUGCCUGAGCUCAACUUAGGAAUUGCCUUUGGGACUGUGAGGCUUUGAGGACGGAAGAGGUGAGUGGAAUUCCCAGUGUAGAGGUGAAAUUCGUAGAUAUUGGGAAGAACACCGGUGGCGAAGGCGGCUCACUGGUCCGUUUCUGACGCUAAAGCGCGAAAGCGUGGGGAUCAAACAGGAUUAGAUACCCUGGUAGUCCACGCUGUAAACGAUGAGUGCUAGGCGUCGGCAGGCUUGCCUGUCGGUGCCGCAGCUAAC
rnacentral:rRNA from 1 species